GGCGUUAUAGUGUAGUGGUUAUCACUCGGGAUUUUGAUUCCCGUAACCCAGGUUCGAACCCUGGUAACGCCU
rnacentral:tRNA from 1 species